GUUAGAGUAGUUUAUUUAAAAUUUUUAUUUUACACAUAAAGGAAGACUUUAAAGUCCUUUAAUA
rnacentral:tRNA from 1 species